rnacentral:rRNA from 1 species
GAGUUUGAUCCUGGCUCAGAUUGAACGCUGGCGGCAGGCCUAACACAUGCAAGUCGAGCGGUAGAGAGAAGCUUGCUUCUCUUGAGAGCGGCGGACGGGUGAGUAAUGCCUAGGAAUCUGCCUGGUAGUGGGGGAUAACGCUCGGAAACGGACGCUAAUACCGCAUACGUCCUACGGGAGAAAGCAGGGGACCUUCGGGCCUUGCGCUAUCAGAUGAGCCUAGGUCGGAUUAGCUAGUUGGUGAGGUAAUGGCUCACCAAGGCGACGAUCCGUAACUGGUCUGAGAGGAUGAUCAGUCACACUGGAACUGAGACACGGUCCAGACUCCUACGGGAGGCCAGCAGUGGGGAAUAUUGGACAAUGGGCGAAAGCCUGAUCCAGCCAUGCCGCGUGUGUGAAGAAGGUCUUCGGAUUGUAAAGCACUUUAAGUUGGAGAAGGGCAGUAAUUAAUACUUUGCUGUUUUGACGUUACCGUACAGAAUAAGCACCGGCUAACUCUGUGCCAGCACG